rnacentral:rRNA from 1 species
AUUGAACGCUGGCGGCAGGCCUAACACAUGCAAGUCGAACGGUAACAGGAAGCAGCUUGCUGCUUUGCUGACGAGUGGCGGACGGGUGAGUAAUGUCUGGGAAACUGCCCGAUGGAGGGGGAUAACUACUGGAAACGGUAGCUAAUACCGCAUAACGUCGCAAGACCAAAGAGGGGGACCUUAGGGCCUCUUGCCAUCGGAUGUGCCCAGAUGGGAUUAGCUAGUAGGUGGGGUAACGGCUCACCUAGGCGACGAUCCCUAGCUGGUCUGAGAGGAUGACCAGCCCAACUGGAACUUGGACACGGGCCAGACUCCUUAGGGAGGCAGCAGUUGGGAAUAUUUGACAAAGGGCGGAAGGCUGAUGCAACCAUUGCGCGGGUAAGGAAGAGGCCUUCGGGGUGUAAAGUACUUUCAGCGGGGAGGAAGGGAGUAAAGUUAAUACCUUUGCUCAUUGACGUUACCCGCAGAAGAAGCACCGGCUAACUCCGUG